rnacentral:rRNA from 1 species
UACGAAGGGGGCGAGCGUUGUUCGGAAUUACUGGGCGUAAAGGGCGCGUAGGCGGCCGAUCAAGUCAGAUGUGAAAGUCCUGGGCUUAACCUGGGGACUGCAUUUGAUACUGAUUGGCUUGAAUGCAGGAGAGGAUAGCGGUAUUCCCAGUGUAGAGGUGAAAUUCGUAGAUAUUGGGAAGAACACCGGUGGCGAAGGCGGCUAUCUGGACUGUGAUUGACGCUGAGGCGCGAAAGCGUGGGGAGCAAACAGG